UACGGAGGGUGCAAGCGUUAUCCGGAAUCACUGGGUUUAAAGGGUGCGUAGGCGGUCGGGUAAGUCCGUCGUGAAAUUCCAUGGCUCAACCAUAGGAACUGCGAUUGAUACUGCCCGACUUGAAUCAGGUUGAGGUCGGCGGAAUGUGACAUGUAGCGGUGAAAUGCAUAGAUAUGUCAUAGAACACCGAUUGCGAAGGCAGCUGGCUGGGCCUGCAUUGACGCUGAGGCACGAAAGCGUGGGGAGCAAACAGG
rnacentral:rRNA from 1 species